rnacentral:rRNA from 1 species
CGCGGCUACCAUGCAGUCGAGCGGGAGGUUGCUUCGGUAACUGACCUAGCGGCGGACGGGUGACGUAAUACUUAGGAAUCUGCCUAUUAAUGGGGGAYAGACAUCUCGAACGGGAUGCUAAUACCGCAUACGCCCUACGGGGGAAAGCAGGGGAUCACUUGUGACCUUGCGUUAAUAGAUGAGCCUAAGUCGGAUUAGCUAGUUGGUGGGGUAAAGGCCUACCAUAGGCGACGCAUCUGUAGCGGGUCUGAGAGGAUGAUCCGCCACACUGGGACUGAGACACGGCCCAGACUCCUACGGGAGGCAGCCGGGGGGAAUAUUGGACAAUGGGGGGAACCCUGAUCCAGCCAUGCCGCGUGUGUGAAGAAGGCCUUAUGGUUGUAAAGCACUUUAAGCGAGGAGGAGGCUCUUUUGGUUAAUACCCAAGAUGAGUGGACGUUACUCGCAGAAUAAGCACCGGCUAACUCUGUGCCAGCAGCGGCGGUAA